rnacentral:rRNA from 1 species
UGGCGGACGGGUGAGUAACGCGUGAGGAACCUGCCUCAGAGUGGGGGGAUAACACACCGAAAGGUGUGCUAAUACCGCAUAACAUAUGGGAGGGGCAUCCCUUUCAUAUCAAAGAUUUAUUGCUCUGAGAUGGCCUCGCGUCCAAUUAGCUAGUUGGCGGGGUAACGGCCCACCAAGGCGACGAUUGGUAGCCGGACUGAGAGGUUGAACGGCCACAUUGGGACUGAGACACGGCCCAGACUCCUACGGAAGGCAGCAG